GACGAACGCUGGCGGCGUGCUUAACACAUGCAAGUCGAACGGUGAAGCCUCUUCCUCCUUGGGGGGUGUGGGUGCGUGGCGAACGGGCGAGUAACACGUGAGUAACCUGCCCCCUUCUUAUGGAUAACCAAAUGAAAGUGUGGCUAACAAGGGAUCUUCUGGGUCUGUCGCAUGAUGCGUCUGGGGAAGAUAUUGUUCCGGUGGGGGAUGAGCUGGCGGCCUAUCAGCUUGUUGGUGGGGUGAUGGUCUACUAAGGCGGUGACGGGUGGCCGGCCUGAGAGGGUGGACGAUCGCAAUGGGACUGAUACACGGCCGAGAAUACUACUGGGGGCGGCAGUAGGGGGGAUUGCUGAACGAUCGCAGGCCUGAUGCUGCGGCGCCGCGUGAUGGAUGGUGGCGUUCGGGGUGUGAUCCUCUUUCGCCAGUGAAGCAGGCCUGCCUCGGUUGUGGGUGGGUUGACGGUAGCUGGAGAAGAAGCGCCGGCUAACUACGUG
rnacentral:rRNA from 1 species